AAAUAGUUCAAUAAAAUCUCCGGAGUGAAAUAAACCAAAAAAAAGGAUAAAAAUCACAAAAACUUCAAUUACCAAAUAUAAAUAUUUUUCUUUACUUCAACUUCAGUGACAUACGUCUUAAUCAGUCAAAAUGUGUGGACCUUGCGGCGGUUGCUGUGGAGGAUGCUGCGGCCCUUGCUGCCCAUGCAUCACUAUAUACACGUGCUGUACGAAGAUUUGUUAAAGCAGUAUGAACGGGUCGACUCUAUCAUGGUACCGCGGACUAUGGUGCUUCGAACCUAUGUGUUCAGUCUACUCAGUGCCGUCUUGUCUUAAUAAAAUAUCCUAAGCCA